UGCGUAGGCGGUUGAGUAAGUCUGACGUGAAAUCUCCGGGCCUAACCCGGAAACUGCGUUGGAUACUAUUCGGCUAGAGGAAUGGAGGGGAGACUGGAAUACUUGGUGUAGCAGUGAAAUGCGUAGAUAUCAAGUGGAACACCAGUGGCGAAGGCGAGUCUCUGGACAUUUCCUGACGCUGAGGCACGAAAAGCCAGGGGGAGCAAACG
rnacentral:rRNA from 1 species